rnacentral:antisense_RNA from 1 species
GUCACAGCUGGGGCCCUCCAUGAGCCUGGUCUGGUACGGAAGUAAUUCCCCCUACUCUUCUAGAACUCAUCUGGUGUCAAGUGUGUUCGGUAGUGUUGGAUGGGCAAGAGAUCUUCUGGGAGCCAGGGGACAGGGGAGAGAGACAGCUUGGUUAUGGACAGAGCUCUAGAGUGGCAGCUACACCCGUCUUGAAUGGAGAGGUACCUGCCGAACACUCCAGGAAGCCUGAAAUACAGGGAUGCCUAUGACCCAC